AGUGAACGCUGGCGGUAGGCCUAACACAUGCAAGUCGAACGGCAGCACAGUAAGAGCUUGCUCUUACGGGUGGCGAGUGGCGGACGGGUGAGGAAUACAUCGGAAUCUACUUUUUCGUGGGGGGUAACGUAGGGAAACUUACGCUAAUACCGCAUACGCCCUACGGGUGAAAGCAGUGGAUCUUCGGACCUUGCGCGAUUGAAUGCGCCGAUGUCGGAUUAGCUAGUUGGCGGGGUAAAGGCCCACCAAGUCGACGAUCCGUAGCUGGUCUGAGAGGAUGAUAGGCCACACUGGAACGGAGACACGGUCCAGACUCCUACGGGAGGCAGCAGUGGGGAAUAUUGGGCAAUGGGCGCAAGCCUGAUCCAGCCAUACCGCGUGGGUGAAGAAGGCCUUCGGGUUGUAAAGCCCUUUUGUUGGGAAAGAAAAGCAGCAGGUUAAGACCCAGCUGUUCUGACGGUACCCAAAGAAUAAGCACCGGCUAACUUCGUG
rnacentral:rRNA from 1 species